rnacentral:rRNA from 1 species
GAUGAACGCUGGCGGCGUGCCUAAUACAUGCAAGUCGAGCGAACAGACGAGGAGCUUGCUCCUCUGACGUUAGCGGCGGACGGGUGAGUAACACGUGGAUAACCUACCUAUAAGACUGGGAUAACUUCGGGAAACCGGAGCUAAUACCGGAUAAUAUAUUGAACUGCAUGGUUCAAUAGUGAAAGACGGUUUUGCUGUCACUUAUAGAUGGAUCAGCGCCGCAUUAGCUAGUUGGUAAGGUAACGGCUUACCAAGGCAACGAUGCGUAGCCGACCUGAGAGGGUGAUCGGCCACACUGGAACUGAGACACGGUCCAGACUCCUACGGGAGGCAGCAGUAGGGAAUCUUCCGCAAUGGGCGAAAGCUUGACGGAGCAACGCCGCGUGAGUGAUGAAGGUCUUCGGAUCGUAAAACUCUGUUAUUAGGGAAGAACAAAUGUGUAAGUAACUAUGCACGUCUUGACGGUACCUAAUCAGAAAGCCACGGCUAACUACGUG